CCUACGGGAGGCAGCAGUGAGGAAUAUUGGUCAAUGGACGAGAGUCUGAACCAGCCAAGUCGCGUGAGGGAAGACGGUCCUAUGGGUUGUAAACCUCUUUUGUCGGGGAGCAAAAUGCGGCACGCGUGGCUUUCCGUGUGUACCCUAUGAACAAGCAUCGGCUAACUCCGUGCCAGCAGCCGCGGUAAUACGGAGGAUCCGAGCGUUAUCCGGAUUUAUUGGGUUAAAGGGGUGCGCAGACGGAAGUUAAAGUCAGCGGUAAAAUUGAGGGGCUCAACCUCUUCGAGCCGUUGAAACUGGUAGUCUUGAGUGAGGGUGAGGUAGGCGGAAUGCGUGGUGUAGCGGUGAAAUGCAUAGAUAUCACGAAGAACUCCGAUUGCGAAGGCAGCAUACCGGAGCGCAACUGACGCUGAUGCACGAAAGCGUGGGUAUCGAACAGGAUUAGAUACCCGAGUAGUC
rnacentral:rRNA from 1 species